UGUAAUCUUAAUUUGGCUUCCGAUAAUUUUCUCCUAUAUAGUUGAUUCUUCCUUCUUGCAGUUGAUACAAAAUUCAGUGCUUUUCGCCAUUGACAGUUUGCAGCCAAGGAAGGUGAUAUUGUGACACCUGGGACUAAGGUUUCUGUAGUAUCCAAGUCUUCUCCUAGCGGCACCCAUGUUGUCCCAUCAGAUGAUAAAGUGGUCAAAGAUGCUCGACCACGAUCACCUCCUGCUGGUGCUCCCCAACCAACUCCUCCAACAGAGAAAAUUGACAAACGAGUGCUCAAAGAAGAAGGUUCAACCAAAGAAAAGCCUAAAGUAACCUCAGAUGCAACCCCCAAAACCUCACCUUCCAAACCUCAGUUACCUCAUCAAGGAAAGGGAAAGAGGAGUUGCUUUGUUUUCUCGAUCCAAAACCAGCCAGCCAAUCAUCAAUGCAAAUCCGAUGUUAUAUAUAGAAAGUGAACCAAGGGCCUUGUGGAUCCACUCAUCAGGAAUGCUGAUAGGUUGAAUUGAAUUUUGCGGGAUAGAGAGAGGAGAUAAAAGCAACCUUGCAAAGAAGAAGAUUCCUGGAGACGACCCCGUUGGGAAUCGAUUGAUAUUGCUACAUUAUUUGCGGGGAUCAGAAACCUUGUGAAGAAGAUAAAACAGUAAGAUAAUAUCAAUUGGAUGAGAUGAUGAUGAUUGGAGGCACAUUUACCAUUUCCAAUGGAGGAGGAGUACACCUAUUAUAAUCACACCCCCACCCCCACCAGUUCUUCACUUA